AAAAAAAAAAAAAAAGAGAAAAAAAGUGUUAUGGAGAGAAGAAGCUGCUGGAGGGCGUUGAAUUUGUACGCCCCGUUAUACCUACAUUAUUGGGCAAUUUAGCAAUUACUGGAAAAGCUGAAUCAUGCUUCUCCUACUCAGUGCAAUUGCAUUCCCAGGCAUAGGUCAGAGAACCCCUCAGAUAAGGGCGCAAGGAAACCAUAAGGGGAAUGUUCAUAACAGCUUUGGAAUUUGCAAAAACUGCAAGUAACCCAAAUGUUCACCCACAGAACAGUGGGAAAAAACUUGUGAUAUAUUUAUUGACUGGAGCCACAUGUUCAAACAUAGAUCUCACAGCUUAGCAUUGAGCAGGAAAUACAAGUUGUAGGAGGCUUGAUAUUUAUGUAAAGGUUAAACCUAUGCAAGGAAAUCUUGCGUACUGCUCUGGGAUACAUACUGUAGGGAAGUACUAUAUUAAUAUAAACUCAGGAUUGUGGGUGCCAUUGGAGGGGGGCUCGAGAAAAGAAUAAGCCUUUCAUUUGGCCUGGUGUGUUCAUUCACUUUUUUGGAAUGCAUCUGAAAUAUUACAUACCAAAUUAAAAUACUGUGUUUCCAAACCUAUAAAACCGAUGGCAACUUUCAAAUAAUUGGAUGUUAGAAAUGGAACUCUCAAAAGAUUUCCUCCUCCCCACGAAUGUACCCUUUGCCUAGGAUGGGAGGCUGUCACCUGGAGUAGCAACCCAAGGCCCUCGACCGCAGGGGUCCUAGCAAGCCUUGCCUUUGUGCAUCUGCUCUGGGAGCCAGAGAAGUUGAAAGCGGCCUCACUCGGGAUUUUUGAAGAGGUUGUAUUUCCCGACAGUCCUGGAUAAAAGACACGGCAGGCAGUCUGACUGUCAGGGGAGUCCCUUCUGGGUCUGUAUUUAUAUAUCCCUAGGAAUCCUCUCCUGCGGGCUCUUAAAUGGUAAGUAGUGGGUUCGUGACCUGUGGUGAGAAGAAAGAUGCCCCAGCAGGUAACGUUAUCUUUUCCUUUCAUCUGUGAAUCUCCCUGCUGCAGGCAAAGCACCCCUGAGUCCUGCAAUUACGGCCUUCCCACCCCCAAGCUGAAAAACCUGAUUUUCUUCAGGAGAAGAGAAACCUCAUCCCGGGAGCGGAAUUUGUGAAGAAAAUGUGAGUGGGAAACAUGAAGAGUGAUGAAAUGAACAAGUUGAGUGACUCCCACCCUGUUGAAGAGAUUGAACUUCAUCCCCAGUUCCUGUGAAGCUUUCUGGAUCUCGUCUUCCAAGCUCCCUCCACCAUCUGGGAUGGAGUCAUUGCUUUACAGCAGUCAUAGCUGCUGUCAUGAAAGAUGAAGCUGGUCUCCAGGACACUAGGAGGUUGCAAAGAGCCACAUGAGUUUAUUGGAUAUGACAGAAUUUCUCCAAGUGGGGAAGCUAAAUUAAGCAAAUGGUAAGUAUACAUUUUGUAAAAUGAUAAAACUCUCAUUAGUUGUGGUUGGUUCAGUUGUCUAUUUAGAAAAUGCAAGGGACUCAACUGAAAAUGUUAGCACCAAUACAGAGAUGUAGUAUGUUGGCUGGAGGAUUCAGGACCAACUUAGAAACAUCAGUGGCAUUUUUAUAUAUCUGUAACCAUAAAAAUAAGUAAUAGAAAAAAAACCAGUAGCAGCAAAGCCAUUCAGAUACCCAGGAAUAACCUUAGUGAGAAAGGCACAACACUCCUGAGACUUCACUGAAAAAUUUGAAAGAAGAUUAGACUAACUGGAGAAGAAAACCCUAUUGUCUUUUUUUUUUUUUU
rnacentral:lncRNA from 1 species